CUCUUUCCAUCUGAAAUAUGGUCCUUCCAUGAGAGCUCUGCUUGGCUGCAUCUCCUCUCUGCUGUAAGCUGCUUCUGAAGGCAGAGCAGCAGCUCCUGGUGUUAGAGAGUCACUCCUAACUGGUGAAAACAUAUGGCUUAUACCACCUUCCACGCUGUGAGUCGUUGAAGACGUGCUUGCCUCCAGUCCUAUGUUCACCCUUCAGAUUAACCUUCUGCAAGCCAAGCUGUCUGUCUCCAGUGGACCUAAAAUGCAAGGAGUACAGAAAAGCCUCUGCUGAAAAUUGUGUUCCACUGCUGCACUGACCGAGAGAGCUAUAAAGUGGAAUUCUAAGAGCUCUUACUAGCUGUUUCACAAAUCUGGUCCCUGAAGAGGGGAGCUGCUAGUCCUGGAAAACAUCUCUUCUGGAGCAAGAGGGACCAUCAUUUCCUUCACAUGGAGAAGAUGCUUCUGUGAUGAGAGACUGAGGAUCUGUAACUAUAAGACAGGUAACUGAAGCUGGAAAAGCAUCUUUCCUAUUUUAACACAUACACAGACACAUUUUUACAACAGCCACAAAAAGGGGUUUAUAGCCAUUUAAAUGUAAUAAUUCUGUUGUGCAGUAAUAAAUUACAAGUUACCUGGGCAA